CGUGGAUUCUAGGUUUUCUCGGGGCACUUUACAGUACUUGGUUGUUUGGAAAGGUUACGGUCCUGCUGAUAGUUCUUGGGUUUCGGCUCCUGACCUGCAUGCGGGCCAUAAGAGCCGCGCUUUUCACGCUAAAUUUCCUCUCAAGCCUGGUCCUGUCCGCCCGGUGGUCGUUCUUCAGGUGGGGGGUAAUGUCACGUAUUCAUCCGCUUAUAGAAAUGUGGUUAAUGACAUUUACUGUCCACACAGGAAAAGUUGUGCCGAGCAGCAACCUAAUCCAC